rnacentral:misc_RNA from 1 species
UACGGAGGAUCCAAGCGUUAUCCGGAAUCAUUGGGUUUAAAGGGUCCGUAGGCGGACAAUUAAGUCAGGGGUGAAAUGGUGCGGCUCAACCGUAGCACUGCCUUUGAUACUGGUUGUCUUGAGUUAUGGUGAAGUGGCCGGAAUAUGUAGUGUAGCGGUGAAAUGCAUAGAUAUUACAUAGAACACCGAUUGCGAUGGCAGGUCACUAACCAUUAACUGACGCUGAUGGACGAAAGCGUGGGGCGCAAAAUGG